rnacentral:lncRNA from 1 species
UCUGAAGAUACAGUAGGAUAGAAUGACGCUACGUGAAGAAGAGGAGUACUAAGGUCCAGCACGACCGGGCAAAAUUGGCCCUUUUAAGUCUUUGCUUCGUUCCUGCUACACAAGAACGAGCAAAGAGGGGCACCUAUAAUACCCAAUUUUCCCGGCCCAAUAAAAAAACAAAAAAAAUAUUAAAAAUCCAUAAGUCCAUUUACACUACCCAAUUACAACAAAAACUAAACCCAAUUACAAUGGCCCAAAUACCCCAGCCCAAUUACAUUGAAACCCAAAACGAAAAAAAAUUUUCAGAAACCCCUAGGGUUUCCAGAAUAUCUCAC